rnacentral:rRNA from 1 species
AUCUCCUAAGGCUAAAUACUCUCUAGUGACCGAUAGUGAACCAGUACCGUGAGGGAAAGGUGAAAAGCACCCCGGAAGGGGAGUGAAAUAGAACCUGAAACCGUGUGCUUACAAGUAGUCAGAGCCCGUUAAUGGGUGAUGGCGUGCCUUUUGUAGAAUGAACCGGCGAGUUACGAUUUGAUGCAAGGUUAAGCAGUAAAUGUGGAGCCGUAGCGAAAGCGAGUCUGAAUAGGGCGUUUAGUAUUUGGUCGUAGACCCGAAACCAGGUGAUCUACCCUUGGUCAGGUUGAAGUUCAGGUAACACUGAAUGGAGGACCGAACCGACUUACGUUGAAAAGUGAGCGGAUGAACUGAGGGUAGCGGAGAAAUUCCAAUCGAACCUGGAGAUAGCUGGUUCUCUCCGAAAUAGCUUUAGGGCUAGCCUCAAGUGAUGAUUAUUGGAGGUAGAGCACUGUUUGGACGAGGGGCCCCUCUCGGGUUACCGAAUUCAGACAAACUCCGAAUGCCAAUUAAUUUAACUUGGGAGUCAGAACAUGGGUGAUAAGGUCCGUGUUCGAAAGGGAAACAGCCCAGACCACCAGCUAAGGUCCCAAAAUAUAUGUUAAGUGGAAAAGGAUGUGGCGUUGCCCAGACAACUAGGAUGUUGGCUUAGAAGCAGCCAUCAUUUAAAGAGUGCGUAAUAGCUCACUAGUCGAGUGACACUGCGCCGAAAAUGUACCGGGGCUAAACAUAUUACCGAAGCUGUGGAUUGUCCUUUGGACAAUGGUAGGAGAGCGUUCUAAGGGCGUUGAAGCAUGAUCGUAAGGACAUGUGGAGCGCUUAGAAGUGAGAAUGCCGGUGUGAGUAGCGAAAGACGGGUGAGAAUCCCGUCCACCGAUUGACUAAGGUUUCCAGAGGAAGGCUCGUCCGCUCUGGGUUAGUCGGGUCCUAAGCUGAGGCCGACAGGCGUAGGCGAUGGAUAACAGGUUGAUAUUCCUGUACCACCUAUAAUCGUUUUAAUCGAUGGGGGGACGCAGUAGGAUAGGCGAAGCGUGCGAUUGGAUUGCACGUCUAAGCAGUAAGGCUGAG